UAGUACGUGUUAUGGUAACAUAGUAUGAGACUUCUUAGAGGGACAUUUCGGGUCUACCGGAAGGAAGUUUGUGGCAAUAACAGGUCUGUGAUGCCCUUAGAUGUUCUGGGCCGCACGCGCGCUACACUGAUCGGUUCAGCAAGUUUUUUACUUCUUAAGUAAAAGUCCUUGACCGGAAGGUUUGGGUAAUCUGAAAAGGCGAUCGUGAUGGGGCUAGAUUUUUGCAAUCCUUAAUCUCCAACGAGGAACC
rnacentral:rRNA from 1 species